GGAAGGUGACCUACAGGUGUAGGAGAUUGGUUGCUAACCAAUUGUGCUGUAAAAGGUUCGGGGUUCGAAUCCUCCUCCUUCCGC
rnacentral:tRNA from 1 species